rnacentral:rRNA from 1 species
UACGUAGGGGGCAAGCGUUGUCCGGAUUUAUUGGGCGUAAAGAGCGUGUAGGCGGCCAAUCAGGUCCGCUGUGAAAACUCGAGGCUCAACCUCGAGAGGUCGGUGGAAACCGUUUGGCUAGAGUCCGGAAGAGGAGAGUGGAAUUCCCGGUGUAGCGGUGAAAUGCGCAGAUAUCGGGAAGAACACCCGUGGCGAAGGCGGCUCUCUGGGACGGUACUGACGCUGAGACGCGAAAGCGUGGGGAGCGA